AUUGAACGCUGGCGGCAGGCCUAACACAUGCAAGUCGAGCGGAUGAAGGGAGCUUGCUCCUGGAUUCAGCGGCGGACGGGUGAGUAAUGCCUAGGAAUCUGCCUGGUAGUGGGGGAUAACGUCCGGAAACGGGCGCUAAUACCGCAUACGUCCUGAGGGAGAAAGGGGGGGAUCUUCGGACCUCACGCUAUCAGAUGAGCCUAGGUCGGAUUAGCUAGUUGGUGGGGUAAAGGCCUACCAAGGCGACGAUCCGUAACUGGUCUGAGAGGAUGAUCAGUCACACUGGAACUGAGACACGGUCCAGACUCCUACGGGAGGCAGCAGUGGGGAAUAUUGGACAAUGGGCGAAAGCCUGAUCCAGCCAUGCCGCGUGUGUGAAGAAGGUCUUCGGAUUGUAAAGCACUUUAAGUUGGGAGGAAGGGCAGUAAGUUAAUACCUUGCUGUUUUGACGUUACCAACAGAAUAAGCGCCGGCUAACUUCGUG
rnacentral:rRNA from 1 species